AUUUAGGAUUUGAAUAAGAUUUGGUUUAAAAUUGAAGGUUUGGUAAGGGUUUGUUUUAGGGUUUAGGAUUUGGUUAAGAUUUGGUUUAGGAUUUAGAAUUUUUUUAGAGUUUGAUUUAGGAUUUAGAGUUUAAUUAGGAUUUAAUUGAAGUCUAUUAAGGUUUCAACUAUGAUUAAAUUAGAACUUGAUUGAGAUUUAUUUAAAA
rnacentral:lncRNA from 1 species